rnacentral:rRNA from 1 species
GAUGAACGCUAGCGGCAGGCCUAAUCAUGCAAGUCGAGGGGCAGCAUUAACUCGGUUAGAUGGCGACCGGCGCACGGGUGCGUAACGCGUAUGCAACUACCUUUUACAGGGGGAUAGCCCGAAGAAAUUCGGAUUAAUACCCCAUAGUAUGAUGGAAUCGCAUGAUUUAUUAUUAAAGUAUUUCGGUAAAAGAUGGGCAUGCGUUAGAUUAGCUAGUUGGUAAGGUAACGGCUUACCAAGGCGACGAUCUAUAGGGGUUCUGAGAGGAUGAUCCCCCACACUGGUACUGAGACACGGACCAGACUCCUACGGGAGGCAGCAGUAGGGAAUAUUGGUCAAUGGGGGCAACCCUGAACCAGCCAUGCCGCGUGCAGGAAGACGGCUUUCUGAGUUGUAAACUGCUUUUAUAUAGGAAGAAAAGACCAUGCGUGGUUCUAUGACGGUACUAUAUGAAUAAGGACCGGCUAACUCCGUG